rnacentral:rRNA from 1 species
AUUGAACGCUGGCGGCAUGCUUUACACAUGCAAGUCGAACGGUAACAGGUCUUCGGAUGCUGACGAGUGGCGAACGGGUGAGUAAUGCAUCGGAACGUGCCCAGUCGUGGGGGAUAACGCAGCGAAAGCUGUGCUAAUACCGCAUACGAUCUAUGGAUGAAAGCGGGGGACCGUAAGGCCUCGUGCGAUUGGAGCGGCCGAUGUCAGAUUAGCUAGUUGGUGGGGUAAAGGCCCACCAAGGCGACGAUCUGUAGCUGGUCUGAGAGGACGACCAGCCACACUGGGACUGAGACACGGCCCAGACUCCUACGGGAGGCAGCAGUGGGGAAUUUUGGACAAUGGGCGCAAGCCUGAUCCAGCAAUGCCGCGUGCAGGAAGAAGGCCUUCGGGUUGUAAACUGCUUUUGUACGGAACGAAACGGUCUGGGUUAAUACCCUGGGCUAAUGACGGUACCGUAAGAAUAAGCACCGGCUAACUACGUGCCAGCAGCCGCCGUAACAC